AUUGAACGCUGGCGGCAUGCCUUACACAUGCAAGUCGAACGGCAGCACGGGGCAACCUGGUGGCGAGUGGCGAACGGGUGAGUAAUGCAUCGGAACGUACCUUUCAGUGGGGGAUAACGUAGCGAAAGUUACGCUAAUACCGCACAUUCUGUGAGCAGGAAAGCAGGGGAUCGCAAGACCUUGCGCUGAUUGAGCGGCCGACGUCAGAUUAGCUAGUUGGUGAGGUAAAGGCUCACCAAGGCGACGAUCUGUAGCGGGGCUGAGAGGACGAUCAGCCACACUGGGACUGAGACACGGCCCAGACUCCUACGGGAGGCAGCAGUGGGGAAUGUUAGACAAGGGGGGCAACCCUGAUCCAGCCAUGCCGCGUGAGUGAAGAAGGCCUUCGGGUUGUAAAGCUCUUUCGGCCGGGAAGAAAUCGCACGGGCUAAUACCCUGUGUGGAUGACGGUACCGGAAUAAGAAGCACCGGCUAACUACGUGCCAGCCGCCGCCGUAACAC
rnacentral:rRNA from 1 species